CCUACGGGAGGCAGCAGUGAGGAAUAUUGGUCAAUGGACGAGAGUCUGAACCAGCCAAGUAGCGUGAAGGAUGACUGCCCUAUGGGUUGUAAACUUCUUUUAUAUGGGAAUAAAAUGUUCCACGUGUGGGAUUUUGUAUGUACCAUAUGAAUAAGGAUCGGCUAACUCCGUGCCAGCAGCCGCGGUAAUACGGAGAAUCCGAGCGUUAUCCGGAUUUAUUGGGUUUAAAGGGUGCGUAGGCGGGGAGGUAAGUCAGCGGUGAAAUGCCUCCGAUCAACGGGGUGAAGUGCCGUUGAGACUGGCUGUCUGGAAUGCGGAUGACGUGGGAGGAAUGGGUGGUGUAGCGGUGAAAUGCAUAGAUAUCACGAAGAACUCCGAUUGCGAAGGCAGCUCACGAGCCCGCGACUGACGCUGAGGCACGAAAGCGUGGGUAUCAAACAGGAUUAGAUACCCCUGUAGUC
rnacentral:rRNA from 1 species